CACCUAUGCCUGCUUCCCAUCGUAGUUCGAUACUCUAACCACUGUACCAUACUGUACUGCACCGGCUCUUCUGAGUGCUUCGGUGGACAGCCAGCACUUGGGUUUGGGCCACCUUGUGACUUAAAGAGAAGGGGCAAUAGAGUUGCUGAAGGAGUGAAGGCACCUGCGUCAGAUGGAGCACCAAAUAACAGAGGCAUGCUUAGCUUAGAUCGCUCUCUUGACCAAAGGGACUAAUAGAAAAAAACAUCAACUUGGCUAAGGCAAAGUACCAGAAUGAAGGACCUUCCCUGGUAUCGAUGUCAAGCUCAAACUCCAAUUAGUUUCAAGGCAUCAUGGCCAAUGGUCUGGGAUGAUGGAAAUUGUAGUCCAGCAACUUCUAGAAAACCACAGACUUGUUUUGUUAUGUUUGUAAUUAUGUAAUUUUAACAUGUUGUAAGCUGCUUUGUUUUAACUUUGGAAAGGCAGCAUACAAAUAAAAUGAUUGAUUGACUGAA